UCUGUUGCUUGAAGUCAAUGUGCAGGUUGCUGAUUGCUGAUCAGGCUUCUCCUUCUGUUUCCCAGUUCCUACAGCUUUUGGACAGUUUGUUACCACUGUUUCAUUCAAUUCCUCAGUUUCAGGAACCUGAUGAGUUGCCAAUUGUUUCUUUGGAGUCUACCUCUUAGCUAUUCUGCAUUUCUGUUUCAGCUGGACAGGUUUAGGCUUGUUACUAUCCUCCUUUGUGCUCUCUUCCUUAUACCAACAGUCAAUCGAAUUGCGCCCAAAUCUGAUACAGUUUUCACAGAAUUUUGGUUUCCAUUCAUAUUCAAUAUGUUGCACAAUGAGACCUCUGUUGGUCUGCAGUUCCAGACUGUCUG
rnacentral:lncRNA from 1 species